rnacentral:lncRNA from 1 species
GGCAAAGUGUUAGUGUUCGGUGUAAACAAUCACGGACUGAAGGUAUUCCAAGAUCGAAUUUGGGUGCCUAAGUUAGGAGGAAUAAGAGAUCUNAUCGAAUUUGGGUGCCUAAGUUAGUAGGAAUAAGAGAUCUUCUAAUGGAAGAAGCUCACAAAACCAUGUACUCAAUUCAUCCGGUAGCACUAAAAUGUAUAGGGACCUAAAACCUUACUACUGGUGGCCGAUGAUGAAGCUUUAUAUUGCAAAGUAUGUGGCUGAGUGUGUGAUGUGUGUAAGGGUCAAGGAACAACAUUAGAAUCCAUAUGAGGGUUUAGAACCUUUACCUAUGCCUAUGGGUAAAUAGGAAGUCAUUGCUAUGGAUUUUGUCACUAAACUGCCCAGAACAAAGAAUGGUCACGACAUGAUUUGGGUAGUCGUUGAUCGCUUCACUAAGAGUGUGCAUUUCAUAGCAGCCA